rnacentral:rRNA from 1 species
GGGAUUAGUGGCGAACGGGUGAGUAACACGUGGGCAAUCUGCCCUCCACUCUGGGACAAGCCCUGGAAACGGGGUCUAAUACCGGAUACGACCAUCGGCCGCAUGGCCUGGUGGUGGAAAGCUCCGGCGGUGGAGGAUGAGCCCGCGGCCUAUCAGCUUGUUGGUGGGGUGAUGGCCUACCAAGGCGACGACGGGUAGCCGGCCUGAGAGGGCGACCGGCCACACUGGGACUGAGACACGGCCCAGACUCCUACGGGAGGCAGCAGUGGGGAAUAUUGCACAAUGGGCGGAAGCCUGAUGCAGCGACGCCGCGUGAGGGAUGACGGCCUUCGGGUUGUAAACCUCUUUCAGCAGGGAAGAAGCGUGAGUGACGGUACCUGCAGAAGAAGCGCCGGCUAACUACGUGCCAGCAGCCGCGGUAAUACGUAGGGCGCAAGCGUUGUCCGGAAUUAUUGGGCGUAAAGAAGCUCGUAGGCGGCUUGUCGCGUCGGUUGUGAAAGCCCGGGGCUUAACCCCGGGUCUGCAGUCGAUACGGGCAGGCUAGAGUUCGGUAGGGGAGAUCGGAAUUCCUGGUGUAGCGGUGAAAUGCGCAGAUAUCAGGAGGAACACCGGUGGCGAAGGCGGAUCUCUGGGCCGAUACUGACGCUGAGGAGCGAAAGCGUGGGGAGCGAACAGGAUUAGAUACCCUGGUAGUCCACGCCGUAAACGGUGGGCACUAGGUGUGGGCAACAUUCCACGUUGUCCGUGCCGCAGCUAACGCAUUAAGUGCCCCGCCUGGGGAGUACGGCCGCAAGGCUAAAACUCAAAGGAAUUGACGGGGCCCGCACAAGCGGCGGAGCAUGUGGCUUAAUUCGACGCAACGCGAAGAACCUUACAAGGCUUGACAUACACCGGAAAACUCUGGAGACAGGGUCCCCCUCGUGGUCGGUGUACAGCUGGUGCAUGGCUGUCGUCAGCUCGUGUCGUGAGAUGUGGGUUAAGUCCCGCAACGAGCGCACCCUGUCCGUGUUGCCAGCAACUUCUUCGGAGGUGGGGACUCCGGAGACCGCCGGGGUCACUGAGGAAGGUGGGGAGGACGUCAAGUCAUCAUCCCCCUUAUGUCUUGGGCUGCACACGUGGUACAAUGGCCGGUACAAUGAGCUGCGAUACCGCGAGGUGGAGCGAAUCUCAAAAAACCGGUGUCAGUUCGGAUUGGGGUGUGCAACUCGACCCCACCAAGUCGGAGUCGCUAGUAAUCGCAGAUCAGCAUCGCUGCGGUGAAUACGUUCCCGGGCCUCGUACACACCGCCCGUCACGUCGUGAAAGUCGGUAACACCACGAAGACCGGUGGCCCAACACCCCUUGUGGGAGGAGCUUCCU